GGAUAGGACAGUGACCUGGCUGUGACAUCUGUCACCUCAUUGACCGUAGGGGCUGAUUUAGCUGAUCUGUCUGGCUAGGUGGGUGUCCCUCCUUCCUCACAGCUCCAUAUUUCUCCCUCCCAAGCCUGCAUGGUUGGCCCAAGAGGACAACCUUCUCCAGUAGCUUUUCCUCCAUAGAAGAGCAUCCUUGGGCCAAGGGCAUACAAGCAGAUGUACUCUGCAGCUCAAACCUUCCAACAAGCUUUCAAGGUUCACAAAGGAACCAGGGAGGGCUGAUGGGAGAGCUGGGUGGCAAAUACCAACCCAGGU
rnacentral:snRNA from 1 species